GGCUCAGAACGAACGCUGGCGGCGCGCCUAACACAUGCAAGUCGCACGAGAAGGCGGGGCAACCCGCUGGUACAGUGGCGAACGGGUGAGUAACGCGUGGGUAACCUACCCUCGAGGGGGGAAUAACCCGCCGAAAGGCGGGCUAAUGCCGCGUACGCGCUCCGGGGGAUGCCUCGGAGCGGAAAGCUGCGCUGAGAGCGUGGCACUCGAGGAGGGGCUCAUGUCCUAUCAGCUGGUUGGUAGGGUAACGGCCUACCAAGGCUGCGACGGGUAGCUGGUCUGAGAGGACGAUCAGCCACACUGGCACUGCGACACGGGCCAGACUCCUACGGGAGGCAGCAGUGAGGAAUAUUGCGCAAUGGGCGCAAGCCUGACGCAGCGACGCCGCGUGGGGGAUGAAGGGCUUCGGCUUGUAAACCCCUUUCGGGGGGGAAGACGGAAUGGGUAACCACUUGGACGGUACCCCCAGAAGCAGCCACGGCUAACUUCGUGCCAGCAGCCGCGGUAAUACGAAGGUGGCAAGCGUUGUUCGGAUUUACUGGGCGUAAAGGGAGCGUAGGUGGUCGGGUAAGCCCCGCGGGAAAGCUCCAGGCUUAACCUGGAAAGGUCGCGGGGGACUGCGCGGCUAGAGGACGGGAGAGGAGCGCGGAAUUCCCGGUGUAGCGGUGAAAUGCGUAGAGA
rnacentral:rRNA from 1 species